UAUCGGAUUGAUACUAAGCCAUGCGAGUCAUUGUAGCAAUACAAGGCAUACGGCUCAGUAACGCGUAGUCAACCUAACCUAUGGACGGGAAUAACCUCGGGAAACUGAGAAUAAUGCCCGAUAGAACAUUAUGCCUGGAAUGGUUUAUGUUCCAAAUGAUUUAUCGCCGUAGGAUGGGACUGCGGCCUAUCAGUUUGUUGGUGAGGUAAUGGCCCACCAAGACUAUUACAGGUACGGGCUCUGAGAGGAGUAGCCCGGAGAUGGGUACUGAGACACGGACCCAGGCCCUAUGGGGCGCAGCAGGCGAGAAAACUUUGCAAUGUGCGAAAGCACGACAAGGUUAAUCCGAGUGGUUUCUGCUAAAGGAACCUUUUGUCAGUCCUAGAAACACUGAUGAAUAAGGGUGGGCAAGUUCUGGUGUCAGCCGCCGCGGUAAAACCAGCACCUCAAGUGGUCAGGAUGAUUAUUGGGCCUAAAGCAUCCGUAGCCGGCUCUGUAAGUUUUCGGUUAAAUCUGUACGCUCAACGUACAGGCUGCCGGGAAUACUGCAAAGCUAGGGAGUGGGAGAGGUAGACGGUACUCGGUAGGAAGGGGUAAAAUCCUUUGAUCUAUUGAUGACCACCUGUGGCGAAGGCGGUCUACCAGAACACGUCCGACGGUGAGGGAUGAAAGCUGGGGGAGCAAACCGGAUUAGAUACCCGGGUAGUCCCAGCUGUAAACCAUGCAAACUCAGUGAUGCAUUGGCUUGUGGCCAAUGCAGUGCUGCAGGGAAGCCGUUAAGUUUGCCGCCUGGGAAGUACGUACGCAAGUAUGAAACUUAAAGGAAUUGGCGGGGGAGCACCACAAGGGGUGAAGCCUGCGGUUCAAUUGGAUUC
rnacentral:rRNA from 1 species